rnacentral:lncRNA from 1 species
GCUGAAUUGUGUCCCCACAAAAGAUGCUGAAGUCCUAACCUCCAGUACCUGUGAAUAUGACCUUAUUUGAAUAAGGUGUUUGCAGAUGAUCAAGUUGGUCUCCCUCCGCUGGAAUGUAAGCAUCACGGAAGAGAAGACUUUUGUAGAUUUUCUUCAUGGAUUCCUAGCACCCAGAAUCAGUCCUGUCUUUACGCCCGUCAUGCUGUGGGAGGCCCUCUCUGGCCCUCCUCCAGCCCUGCCCCGCCCCACCCGGUGAGGAGUCUGUGCAGUCAAGCGGAUGUGCUUUCUUGAUAUAUUCUGCUUAAGCAACGUGUGAUUUCGAAGACUUCCUGGCUAAAGGUUUCAUCCCUUUAUGCUUUUUAAAUGAAAGUCAUCAUCUCAUCAUUGGGCUCAUUCUCUUGGGUACCUAAUAUUAUCAUCCUCCUCAAGGGUUGCAAGCUCAAAUAGUGACAGGGGCCAAGCAGCCUUUAUGUAGAUGUAGAAGAUUCUGAAAUAAAACAAGGACGGAACUUGACUUUGUGAGGUGCAAGUGUCCAUCUCUCUUCAGGCAGAUUCCACUCCAUAUC